rnacentral:ncRNA from 1 species
UCUCAUGGCGCUUUUCCACUCCACAUCUAUGGAGGGGCGUACAUCCAAAAGGAGGUAAAACAUAACCGUUUGGCUCACGGUGCGGCAGUGUGGAGACCUGUCGUAAUGUCGGACGCUCUGAGAUACGGGCGGCGGCGAGGCGGUGAUGCGGAGGCUGAUCCGUCAGAGUCGGAAGCAUGAGC